AGCAGUGCUGCGCAGUGAUCGGAUAGGCCCUCUCUUUUGAGGGAUCAUCUUUUAGUUGUCUUCUCCCCAGCAAAGAAAGAUGCAAGCGCGGCGGUAGCUA
rnacentral:sRNA from 1 species